UGGCAGCAGUGGGGAAUAUUGCGCAAUGGGGGCAACCCUGACGCAGCCAUGCCGCGUGAAUGAAGAGGGCCUUCGGGUUGUAAAGUUCUUUCGGUGAUGAGGAAGGUGGAUGUUUAAAUAGGGCAUUCAAUUGACGUUAAUCACAGAAGAGGCACCGGCUAACUCCGUGCCAGCAGCCGCGGUAAUACGGAGGGUGCGAGCGUUAAUCGGAAUAACUGGGCGUAAAGGGCACGCAGGCGGAUAAUUAAGUGAGAUGUGAAAUCCCCGAGCUUAACUUGGGAAUUGCAUUUCAUACUGGUUAUCUAGAGUCUUGUAGAGAGGGGUAGAAUUCCACGUGUAGCGGUGAAAUGCGUAGAGAUGUGGAGGAAUACCGGAGGCGAAGGCGGCCCCUUGGACAAAGACUGACGCUCAUGUGCGAAAGCGUGGGGAGCAAACAGGAUUAGAUACCCUGGUAGUCCA
rnacentral:rRNA from 1 species